rnacentral:rRNA from 1 species
AGCGAACGCUGGCGGCAGGCUUAACACAUGCAAGUCGAACGGGCAUAGCAAUAUGUCAGUGGCAGACGGGUGCGUAACGCGUGGGAACGUACCUUUUGGUUCGGAACAACACAGGGAAACUUGUGCUAAUACCGGAUAAGCCCUUACGGGGAAAGAUUUAUCGCCGCAAGAUCGGCCCGCGUCUGAUUAGCUAGUUGGUAGGGUAAUGGCCUACCAAGGCGACGAUCAGUAGCUGGUCUGAGAGGAUGAUCAGCCACAUUGGGACUGAGACACGGCCCAAACUCCUACGGGAGGCAGCAGUGGGGAAUAGUGGACAAUGGGCGAAAGCCUGAUCCAGCCAGGCCGCGUGAGUGAUGAAGGCCCUAGGGUUGUAAAGCUCUUUUGUGCGGGAAGAUAAUGACGGUACCGCAAGAAUAAGCCCCGGCUAACUUCGUG